ACUCCUACGGGAGGCAGCAGUAGGGAAUAUUGGUCAAUGGAUGCAAGUCUGAACCAGCCAUGCCGCGUGCAGGAAGAAGGCCUUCUGGGUUGUAAACUGCUUUUGCCAGGGGAUAAAAAUCUCAUGCGUGAGAAAUUGAAGGUACCUGGUGAAUAAGCCACGGCUAACUACGUGCCAGCAGCCGCGGUAAUACA
rnacentral:rRNA from 1 species